rnacentral:rRNA from 1 species
UGAGUAAAGUGGCGCACGGGGUGAGUAACACGUGACUAACCUACCCUUGAGUGGGGGAUAACCUCGGGAAACCGGGGCUAAUACCGCAUAAUAUCGAGAGAUCAAAGGAGCAAUUCGCUUAAGGAGGGGGUCGCGGCAGAUUAGUUAGUUGGCGGGGUAAUGGCCCACCAAGACGGUGAUCUGUAUCCGGCCUGAGAGGGCGCACGGACACACUGGAACUGAAACACGGUCCAG